GAAUUUAUGGCUCAGUGGUCACAGCGCUUGGAGAGUGAACAAGUGGCACAGGUUCAAAUCCUGCUACGUUUA
rnacentral:tRNA from 1 species